rnacentral:rRNA from 1 species
UACAGAGGCCUCGAGCGUUAGGCGGAAUCACUGGGCUUAAAGCGUGUGUAGGCGGACUUCUAAGUACCUUGUGAAAUCCCACGGCUUACCCGUGGAACGGCUGGGUAUACUGGGAGUCUUGAGCCACCUAGGGGCGAGUGGAACAAAUGGUGGAGCGGUGAAAUGCGUAGAUAUCAUUUGGAACGCCAAUGGUGAAAACAGCUCGCUGGGGAUGUACUGACGCUGAGACACGAAAGCCAGGGGAGCAAACGGG